rnacentral:rRNA from 1 species
AGGAAGGCAGCAGGCGCGCAAAUUACCCAAUCCCGACACGGGGAGGUAGUGACAAUAAAUAACGAUACAGGGCCCUUUCGGGUCUUGUAAUUGGAAUGAGUACAAUUUAAAUACCUUAACGAGGAACAAUUGGAGGGCAAGUCUGGUGCCAGCAGCCGCGGUAAUUCCAGCUCCAAGAGCGUAUGUAAAAGUUGUUGCAGUUAAAAAGCUCGUAGUUGAACUUUGGGUUUGGUUGGCCGGUCCGCUUUUUUGCGUGUACUGGACCCAACCGAGCCUUUCCUCCUGGCUAACUAGUUGCCCUUGUGGUGGCUAGCGAACCAGGACUUUUACUUUGAGAAAAUUAGAGUGUUCAAAGCAGGCAUUAGCUUGAAUAUAUUAGCAUGGAAUAAUAGAAUAGGACGUUAUGGUUCUAUUUUGUUGGUUUCUAGGACCAUCGUAAUGAUUAAUAGGGACGGUCGGGGGCAUCAGUAUUCAGUUGUCAGAGGUGAAAUUCUUAGAUUUACUGAAGACUAACUACUGCGAAAGCAUUUGCCAAGGACGUUUUCAUUAAUCAGGGAACGAAAGUUAGGGGAUCGAAGACGAUCAGAUACCGUCGUAGUCUUAACCAUAAACUAUGCCGACUAGGGAUCGGACGGGAUUCUAUAAUGACCCGUUCGGCACCUUACGAGAAAUCAAAGUUUUUGGGUUCUGGGGGGAGUAUGGUCGCAAGGCUGAAACUUAAAGGAAUUGACGGAAGGGCACCACCAGGAGUGGAGCCUGCGGCUUAAUUUGACUCAA